rnacentral:SRP_RNA from 1 species
GCCGGGCGCGGUGGUGCACGCCUGUAGUCCUAGCUACUCGGGAGGCUGAGGCAGGAGGAUCGCUUGAGUCCAGGAGUUCUGGGCUGCAGUGCGCUAUGCCAAUCGGGUGUCCGCACUAAGUUCGGCAUCAAUAUGGUGACCUCCCGGGAGCGGGGGACCACCAGGUUGCCUAAGGAGGGGUGAACCGGCCCAGGUCGGAAAAGAGAAAGGGUGGUUAAUUUUAUUUGAUAUUACACUACUAACAUUAUCUUGGUUUCACUUGAAAAUAUGCUUAGAACUCUCU